GCUCCGCUUCCCGGGUUCACGCCAUUCUCCUGCCUCAGCCUCCCGAGUAGCUGGGACUACAGGCGCCCGCCACCACGCCUGGCUAAUUUUAUAUUUUCAGUAGAGACGGGGUUUCAUCGUGUUAGCCAGGAUGGUCUCCAUCUCCUGACCUCGUGAUCCCCCCGCCUCGGCCUCCCAAAGUGCUGCGAUUACAGGCAUGAGCCACCGCGCCUGGCCCGGUCAUGUUAUAUUUUAAGUUUUUAUAAUUGAAUACUUAAAACA
rnacentral:lncRNA from 1 species